rnacentral:misc_RNA from 1 species
AUGAGUGGUGUUUGGUUUGUUACGGGUGGUUGGCUCUUUGCUUGCGCAACAACUUCCACCUGGCAUGCCUCUUCAGUUUUGCGUCAAUGCUUGUAUUUGCAUUGAAUCCAUAGUGGGUUUCUUGUGUUGCAUACCAAAUUGAUGGUAUCGUUUGAUGAAUUGAUGUUCCUUUUCGUCUUGUGUCGCACAUGUGAUGUGAGAUGAACCUCGAGGCAUUCUUUGUGAUCCACUCUUUUGAUGCACAAACAUUGAUGGUGUGGCCCAUUAAGUGUUGCUUGGUCUCAUGGAUAUAGAACUUGGUGUGGGCAUGGGAUCGUAGUAUUCUUACUAGUUCCUUGUUUGCCCUGAUUUAGCUUCUCCAAUACGAUUUGACUAUCACBUGUGGCACGUCUCAGCGUGGUAGUCUAAUUUGAAGAUGAAUGCUACCUGGUUGAUCCUGCCAGUAGUCAUAUGCUUGUCUCAAAGAUUAAGCCAUGC